rnacentral:rRNA from 1 species
CUAGUGGCGAACGGGUGCGUAACACGUGAGUAACCUACCCCGAAGUCUGGAAUAACACCGGGAAACCGAUGCUAAUACCAGAUGCCCUCAUUUGAUCGCAUGAUCGGAUGAGGAAAGUUUUUCGCUUCGGGAGGGGCUCGCGGCCUAUCAGCUUGUUGGUGAGGUAAUGGCUCACCAAGGCUUCGACGGGUAGCUGGUCUGAGAGGACGAUCAGCCACACUGGGACUGAGACACGGCCCAGACUCCUACGGGAGGCAGCAGUGGGGAAUAUUGCGCAAUGGGCGAAAGCCUGACGCAGCAACGCCGCGUGGAGGACGAAUGCCUUUUGGUUGUAAACUCCUUUCAGCAGGAACGAAAUUGACGGUACCUGCAGAAGAAGCCCCGGCCAACUACGUGCCAGCAGCCGCGGUAAUACGUAGGGGGCGAGCGUUGUCCGGAUUUAUUGGGCGUAAAGAGCUCGUAGGCGGCUUGAUAAGUCGGCUGUCAAACCCCCAGGCUUAACCUGGGGCAGUCAAUCGAUACUGUCAUGGCUAGAGUCCGGUAGGGGAUCACGGAAUUCCUGGUGUAGCGGUGAAAUGCGCAGAUAUCAGGA